GUGGAGACCGCGUCUUGGUAAACGCAGUGUGAUGCACGUAAGAUUGCCGGUGUAGGCUGGAUGAGGAAUGCGGGAAACCAGGAUAUCUGGCACAAACUUGGGGAGGCCUAUGUCCAACAGUGGACUGCAAUAGGCUGAACUGAAGACUGAAUGAUGGUUGAUUUAG